rnacentral:rRNA from 1 species
AUUGAACGCUGGCGGCAUGCCUUACACAUGCAAGUCGAACGGCAGCACGGGAGCAAUCCUGGUGGCGAGUGGCGAACGGGUGAGUAAUAUAUCGGAACGUGCCCGGUCGUGGGGAUAACGUAGCGAAAGCUACGCUAAUACCGCAUACGAUCUACGGAUGAAAGCGGGGGGAUCGCAAGACCUCGCGCGAUUGGAGCGGCCGAUAUCAGAUUAGGUAGUUGGUGAGGUAAAGGCUCACCAAGCCGACGAUCUGUAGCUGGUCUGAGAGGACGACCAGCCACACUGGGACUGAGACACGGCCCAGACUCCUACGGGAGGCAGCAGUGGGGAAUUUUGGACAAUGGGCGCAAGCCGUGAGUCCAGCCAAUGCCGCGUGCA